UUGAUUAGGAUUUGAUUUAGGAUUUUGAAUUUGAUUAGAAUUUAAUUUAAGAUUUAGAGUUUGAUUAGGAUUUGAUUUAAAAUUUAGAAUUUAGUUAGGAUUUAGGAUUUAGGGUUUGUCUAAGGUUUGAUUUAGGAUUUAAGAUUUGAUUAGGAUUUAGUUUAGGAUUUAUCUAGGAUUUGAUUUAAGAUUUAGGAUUUGAAUAGGAUUGGAUUUAGGAUUUAGGUAUUGUCUAGCAUUUGAUUUAGAAUUUAGGAUUUAUCUAGGCUUUGAUUGAAGUCCAUUAGACUUUCAACUAGGAUUAAAUUAGAACUUGAUUGAGAUUUAUUUAAUAUAUAUUGUGAUUAUUUUAAUAUUUUUUAGAGAUUCUUAAGGAUUCUUUUAAAGUUUAUUUUAGAUUAUCUUUUAAUUCCUUUAAAUAAAAAAAAUAUUUCUUUUGUUAUUUUUUUAAGAUUUCUUUUGAAUUUGAUUAAAGCUUAUUUAGCAUUAUUAAGAUUUAAUUAGAGUUUAUUUAAUAUUCUAUUAGAAUUAAGAUUUUAUUAUUAUAAUUUCUAUUCUACCUUCCACAGUUAGGUGCCCGUUGCACUCUCAAGCAAUACUUUAUGUAAUAUAAUAUAUUUGGUGAAACCUACAUGAAAAGCUUGAAAUAAAAGAUAUUUGGAAAUUUUUCUUUGAUUAUUUGAAUAAUAGAGAAGAAAGGCAAGAGAGUUGAAGGUGAGGCUAUGGGUGGUGCUUUGACUGGAGCUACAAAUGGAGAUACU
rnacentral:lncRNA from 1 species